rnacentral:rRNA from 1 species
GGCCCCGCCUGCCCAGUGACUAUAUGUUCAACGGCCGCGGUAUUUUAACCGUGCGAAGGUAGCGUAAUAACUUGUCUUUUAAAUGGGGACUAGUAUGAAUGGCGCCACGAGGGCUUAACUGUCUCCUUUUUUUGGUCAAUGAAAUUGAUCUCCCCGUGCAAAAGCGGGGAUAAACACAUAAGACGAGAAGACCCUGUGGAGCUUAAGACAUAAACAGAUCACGUUAAAAGUACCUUAAUAAAGGACUAAACUAAAAGAAACCUGCCCCUAUGUCUUUGGUUGGGGCGACCGCGGAGAAUAGACAAACCUCCCCUCCGUGUGGACCGAGGAUACCUCCCUUUAUCACAUCCUCAAAACUGAGAGUUCCAACUCAAGGUAACAGAAACUUCUGACCUCAACGAUCCGGCACACAGCCGAUUAACGAACCAAGUUACCCCAGGGAUAACAGCGCAAUCCCCUUUCAGAGCCCCUAUCGACAAGGGGGUUUACGACCUCGAUGUUGGAUCAGGACAUCCUAGCGGCGCAACUGUUGCUAAGGGUUCG